GUCCACGCCGUAAACGAUGGGUGCUAGGUGUGGGGGGUGUCGACUCCCUCCGUGCCGAAGCUAACGCAUUAAGCACCCCGCCUGGGGAGUACGGCCGCAAGGCUAAAACUCAAAGGAAUUGACGGGGGCCCGCACAAGCAGCGGAGCAUGUGGUUUAAUUCGACGCAACGCGAAGAACCUUACCUGGGCUUGACAUGCACGGGAAUGUCGUAGAAAUACGGCAGCCUUUCGGGGCUCGUGUACAGGUGUUGCAUGGCUGUCGU
rnacentral:rRNA from 1 species